rnacentral:rRNA from 1 species
UACAGGGGGUGCAAACGUUGCUCGGAAUUACUGGGCGUAAAGCGCGCGUAGGCGGCCCGGUAAGUCCGUUGUAAAAGUCGAAGGCUCAACCUUCGAAAGCCGAUGGAUACUGCCGGGCUAGAGUCCGGAAGAGGCGAGUGGAAUUCCUGGUGUAGCGGUGGAAUGCGCAGAUAUCAGGAGGAACACCCAUAGCGAAGGCAGCUCGCUGGGACGGUACUGACGCUGAGGCGCGAAAGCGUGGGGAGCGAACAGG